UACGGAGGAUCCGAGCGUUAUCCGGAUUUAUUGGGUUUAAAGGGAGCGUAGGUGGAUUGUUAAGUCAGUUGUGAAAGUUUGCGGCUCAACCGUAAAAUUGCAGUUGAAACUGGCAGUCUUGAGUACAGUAGAGGUGGGCGGAGUUCGUGGUGUAGCGGUGAAAUGCUUAGAUAUCACGAAGAACUCCGAUUGCGAAGGCAGCUCACUGGACUGCAACUGACACUGAGGCUCGAAAGUGUGGGUAUCAAACAGG
rnacentral:rRNA from 1 species